UAAUUGAUCCAUGGACCAAGCUACCCCAGGGAUAACAGCGCAAUCUCCCCCGAGAGUCCGUAUCGACGGGGAGGUUUACGACCUCGAUGUUGGAUCAGGACAUCCUAGUGGUGCAGCCGCUACUAAGGGUUCGUUUGUUCAACGAUUAACAGUCCUACGUGAUCUGAGUUCAGACCGGAGCAAUCCAGGUCGGUUUCUAUCUAUGAUGAACUCUUCCCAGUACGAAAGGAUAGGAAAAGUGAGGCCAAUACCACAAGCAAGCCU
rnacentral:rRNA from 1 species